rnacentral:rRNA from 1 species
UACGUAGGGUGCAAGCGUUGUCCGGAAUUAUUGGGCGUAAAGAGCUCGUAGGCGGCUUGUCACGUCGGGUGUGAAAGCCCCGGGGCUUAACCCCCGGGCUUGCGGUCGAUACGGGCAGGCUAGAGUUCGGUAGGGGAGACUGGAAUUCCUGGUGUAGCGGUGAAAUGCGCAUAUAUCAGGAGGAACACCGGUGGCGAAGGCGGGGUCUCUGGGCCGAUACUGACGUGAGGAGCGAAAGCGUGGGGGAGCGAACAGG